UCGAAUGGAACAUGCAGUUAACAGUGGAGGACCGAAAGUGAAAUUAAUCCCUCCGUCCAAAACUCCACGCAGCAAUGGAUUAAAAUAAAACAAAUUCAACAUUUCAUGGCAAAAUUUGAAAACAAACCACAAUGAUUUUGAAAUGAUGGGAUAAAAUGAAGGAUUAAAAACGAAAAUAACCCAUCAGUGUUUAAAACCCUUUUCAUCUCCAAUUAAAAGCCUCAUCUUCCUUUUUUUUCUUUUUUAAAACAACAGAGGGAAGAAAGAGGGAUCUGCUAGGCCUUCUUUAAAACCCUAACUACCGCCACGCCACCGCCGUUCAAGCUUCGCCGCCGACUCCGAUUCAGGUAAGUUUCGUCCUUUUCUUUUUGCUUUUUCUUUUGCACCAAAAACAGAGAAGCAAAGAAAAAGAAAAAGAAAUAAAUAAAUAAAUAAAACACAAAGAAAAUUACCUUCAAAAAAUUGUUUUUGAUUCUUUGUUUGUAUUUCAGUAUUUUUCCAAUACAAGAUUUUUCUCUUUUUAGUACACAAUUUUUCUAACCAAGUAACAGAAAAUCAUUGGCCUUUAUAUAGCCCUCCCUAAAUCCUUUUACAACUGUUUUGCUGUGUGUAUAUCCUAUUAGUGUUGUCUGUGACUUGCAGAUGUGUGAGCGUUGUGCGAGUGGACGUGCCAGCGAAGAUGUGGGACAGUUUGGGAGGCUGCCGAACGUGGGGCGUGCACGGCACUGGAAGUUGCUGCGACGUGGGGUGGCUACUACUAACUGCUGCUUAGGGUUAGGCUAGGGUUAGCACA
rnacentral:lncRNA from 1 species